rnacentral:rRNA from 2 species
UACGAAGGGGGCUAGCGUUGCUCGGAUUGACUGGGCGUAAAGGGCGCGUAGGCGGAUAGUACAGUCAGGCGUGAAAUUCCUGGGCUCAACCUGGGGGCUGCGUUUGAUACGUAUUGUCUGGAGUUCGGAAGAGGGUCGUGGAAUUCCCAGUGUAGAGGUGAAAUUCGUAGAUAUUGGGAAGAACACCGGUGGCGAAGGCGGCGACCUGGUCCGAUACUGACGCUGAGGCGCGAAAGCGUGGGGAGCAAACAGG